UACAACUUUCAGCAACGGAUCUCUUGGCUCUCGCAUCGAUGAAGAACGCAGCGAAUUGCGCAUAAGUAAUGUGAAUUGCAGAUUUUCAGUGAAUCAUCKAAUCUUUGAACGCACCUUGCGCUCCUUGGUAUUCCGAGGAGCAUGCCUGUUUGAGUGUCAUC
rnacentral:rRNA from 1 species